GAUGAACGCUGGCGGCGUGCCUAAUACAUGCAAGUCGAGCGAACGGACGAGAAGCUUGCUUUUCUGAUGUUAGCGGCGGACGGGUGAGUAACACGUGGAUAACCUACCUAUCAGACUGGGAUAACUUCGGGAAACCGGAGCUAAUACCGGAUAAUAUUUUGAACCGCAUGGUUCAAAAGUGAAAGACGGUCUUGCUGUCACUUAUAGAUGGAUCCGCGCUGCAUUAGCUAGUUGGUAAGGUAACGGCUUACCAAGGCAACGAUGCAUAGCCGACCUGAGAGGGUGAUCGGCCACACUGGAACUGAGACACGGUCCAGACUCCUACGGGAGGCAGCAGUAGGGAAUCUUCCGCAAUGGGCGAAAGCCUGACGGAGCAACGCCGCGUGAGUGAUGAAGGUCUUCGGAUCGUAAAACUCUGUUAUGAGGGAAGAACAUAUGUGUAAGUAACUGUGCACAUCGUGACGGUACCUAAUCAGAAAGCCACGGCUAACUACGUG
rnacentral:rRNA from 1 species